rnacentral:lncRNA from 1 species
GUUGGGGUAUUCUUAAGAAAUUUUGCAUAAAAGGAGUCGCCACUAGCCUAUUGGGGUCGGCUAGAAACCAAGUGAGGCAUGGGAGCGUGCCUCACUUCCUACGCAACCAGAGAAUUUAGGUUCAGGGACUUGAUUACACUAAUUAACCAAUUAGUGCCCUUUCAGUACCUAAUCUUGUUCAUUUUAACAAAAUGAUUUUUGACAGGCAAUUUGGAUUGAUU